GGUUGCUGGCCACUUCCAGCUUCUGUGAAACAGAAACGAUGCUCAGUGAGUUUGCUAGGCCUUGCCUUAGGUAAUUUUCGCUUCCUGCUGCCUGGGUCUUCAUCUGCAGUGAGGGCUCGGGACCUAACCCUGCAGGUUCCCCCAAGGACCAAAAGCCUGAACAACGCGCUGAAGGCCAGAGGUCUGAUUGUGUGCCUUUGGCGCCCUCUCCUGGAAGCUGGAGUCGUUGCAUACUUUCAGCUGUUAAGACGCAUGCAGGAGGAGCCUGAACUUAAGAACACACUGGGGCCUCUUGGUUCCAUGUGCUCCUGUGGUUCCCCAUCCGAGCCACCCGGGGCUCUGGAGAAGCAGCCCCAUCUCCUGGAGGGCCCCUCAACAUGAUGUACCAGAGACAGACAACAGAAAGACAGGUUCUCAGAUCCCACUGCCCCAAGACUGGCCCGGGUGGAGACAAAGAUGGCAGCCCAGGAGGGAGAGAGGGUGCGGCUCACCAUC